rnacentral:lncRNA from 1 species
AAAAGCGUAAGGCGUGGGUGAGGCUUCCGAGGGAUAGCCUGGCCUAGGCGUGAGGUGAAGCCUCACGGGACCUAAAUUUUUUAAUAUAUACAUUGAGCGUACACAUAAACUAUAUUAAAAAAAAGAAGAUUAUUAAUCAAUAAUCACCUUGAGCACACACAUAUAUUAUAAAUAUAUAUACGCACAUAUAACAAUGCAUGCAGACAACACACACAUCCAUUAUAUAAAAAAAUAAAAAUCAGAAAAAAAAGGGAAGAGUGACGAUAGUGCAAGGAAGAGGUAUGAGCAUGGUCUAAAAUAUCCAUAAUAUCCCGAUAUUUUCAUCGAAAUUUCCGUGUUUUUGGACUACCGAUAUUUCCGAUAUCUUCGAUAUUUUAGACCUUGCUAAGUCACUCAUGUAUCUUACCAUGCAAUGUAUAAAGUGUAAAAUAUUGUACUAAUUCAUUAUAUAUAAAUGAUUAUGGUGUGUUUAAACUUCUUUAAUUAAUUACUACAUAUUUUCUACACUCACAAUGUUUGCCAGCUCGCUAUAUAAUCAAUUUAAAUCAGUUAUAUCUAUCAUGCAAUGCAUUUCCUUCUAAUUUUUUGUGAUAAACUAAUAGAUAAUUGACUAAAUAAACAUCCUGCAAAGUUUCAAUAAAAAUUUCCAAGUUUUUCUUACAAUUUCCGUGGUUUUUAUUCAAUUUUUAUCGAUAUCGAUAAUAUCCCGAUAUUUCCAUCGAAAUUUCCGUGUUUUUAGACUACCGAUAUUUCCGAUAUCAUCGAUAUUUAAUACCUUGGGUAUGAGGCAGUUAUAACGUACCCAAAUUUGGGUAAAAAAGCCCCUGAGGCGCCCCUAGGCGGUUCCGGCGACACCUUCCACCCACUCCCUCAAAACAGAGGCGGCAACCCUCACUCCCAGCCUCAGAGGACGCCUAGGCGUGCCCUGAGGCGAGCCUUUUAAAACAUAAUGUGAUGUAUGUUUAACUUUAAUAUGAAUUAUACUCGUUGACUAAUCUUUUAUCAUUCAUUUCUAC